ensembl:lncRNA
AUAAAAAAUACUGUUGCCAGAACAUGGAAGCUGUUGUGGAACCCAUCUGGAAAGCUGCACUGACUGACGCAUUUCCAGGAGUCACACCAUCAGACAAAUAAUGCACCACUGAAUCAAAUUCCAGCAAGCUGGGCAUAAGAAGAAUAAUUUAAUUUCCACACUAAGUUUCCUUGGGAUGAGCAUCACCUGCGGUCCUUGCUGGAAGCACGUAUCAAACCCCAGCCUAAAGUUCGUGGUGGAAGGUUACUGUUGAUCAUACAGACAUAAACUGGGGAAACACCUGAAAUGAAAGGCAAGUCAGCAACAACAAAUCCCUGGAGUUUAUGGGACACGUGAAGAUAUGUGGCUUGUUGAAGACACUUAGUUACAGACGGAUUCAUUUUUAAAACCUGCAAAUCUCUCAGCUCCUGCUGGGUGUUGGUUACCCACCAUGAGAUUGACCUGAGAGAGAAGAAAUGGAUACAGUCAGAGAACUCAUCUGGGGCUCCUCUGGCUGUAGCUCUGAGAGUUGACAGCUCAGUGUUUCUUGUGCACCUC